UACGAAGGGGGCGAGCGUUGUUCGGAAUUACUGGGCGUAAAGGGCGCGCAGGCGGCCUUAGAAGUCAGAUGUGGAAGCCCCGGGCUCAACCUGGGAAUGGCAUUUGAUACUCUGAGGCUGGAGUACGGGAGAGGAGAGUGGAAUUCCCAGUGUAGAGGUGAAAUUCGUAGAUAUUGGGAAGAACACCGGUGGCGAAGGCGGCUCUCUGGACCGUAACUGACGCUGAGGCGCGAAAGCGUGGGGAGCAAACAGG
rnacentral:rRNA from 1 species